rnacentral:misc_RNA from 1 species
GUUCACUAAAGAAUGGAGUAGUAAGUUGGGAACAAAUUUCUCAAUUACGGCACAACAGAUGUGUUAUAAUUUAAAACUAAAAGUAGAGACCAUUAGGUAGUAGAAAGAAAUUGAUUUGUUUCUUAUUGUUGAUGACGCUGUCCCCGUCCUUUCUUGGCCUCCACAACCGUUGGCUCAUGCGAGUCACAUACUUGUGUCUUGAAUUUACAUCCCAACUUCUUUCUCCACCCACCUCCUCCUUCUCUGCUGCCUACCUUAUCUAUCUUCUGGAUUACUUUCUUCAUUGAGGAGCAUUCGCGCUCAAGUUCUUGUACUCGCGUCCUCAUGCUAUCCAUAUCCAACCGUAGCACUUGAUUCUCCCUCACUGUUUUCCUCCACGUGCUACGACCUUCCUGUGCACGUCCCAUUCCAACUACUCCUGUCAUUUCCUCUUGCUCCCCACCUUCACCCUCCUCUUCCCUCACGUCCAUAAUUGACAGCCGCGGGAUUUCUUCUGGAUUCACAUCGGCGACCAUAAGAGUUCCGGCGAUUGCCUGCCGGAGUUGGAGUUGUUCGAAGAAUAGUACCUGAACUACGGCUCUAAGUGGAAGCCGUUCAUUCUGAGCUGCGUGUGUACACGCCUCUAGUGUUAACUUUUGGCAAUCCAUAACUCCGCAUAUUUGCUCCCUCUCCGCUUCCGAUAUCCAUGGAUGCGCCUUG